rnacentral:pre_miRNA from 1 species
CAAGUACUCCCUCCGUUCCAAAUUACUCGUCGCAUAAAUGGAUGUAUCUAGAUGUAUUUUAGUUCUAGAUACAUCCAUUUCUACGACAAGUAAUUUGGAACGGAGGGAGUACGAU